rnacentral:pre_miRNA from 1 species
UCUUUAAGAUGAGCAAAAAAAGUAGUUUCUUAUGAUGGAAACUACUCCUGGUGAAGAUGCUGUGAA